CUUACGUUGAAAAGUGAGCGGAUGAACUGAGGGUAGCGGAGAAAUUCCAAUCGAACUUGGAGAUAGCUGGUUCUCUCCGAAAUAGCUUUAGGGCUAGCCUCAAGUGAUGAUUAUUGGAGGUAGAGCACUGUUUGGACGAGGGGCCCCUCUCGGGUUACCGAAUUCAGACAAACUCCGAAUGCCAAUUAAUUUAACUUGGGAGUCAGAACAUGGGUGAUAAGGUCCGUGUUCGAAAGGGAAACAGCCCAGACCACCAGCUAAGGUCCCAAAAUAUAUGUUAAGUGGAAAAGGAUGUGGCGUUGCCCAGACAACUAGGAUGUUGGCUUAGAAGCAGCCAUCAUUUAAAGAGUGCGUAAUAGCUCACUAGUCGAGUGACACUGCGCCGAAAAUGUACCGGGGCUAAACAUAUUACCGAAGCUGUGGAGUGUCCUUGGGACAAUGGUAGGAGAGCGUACUAAGCGCGUCGAAGCAUGAUCGCAAGGACAUGUGGAGCGCUUAGAAGUGAGAAUGACUGUAUGAGUAGCGGAAGCCGGGUGAGAAUCCC
rnacentral:rRNA from 1 species